rnacentral:rRNA from 1 species
UCCUACGGGGGGCAGCAGUGGGGGAUAUUGCACAAUGGGGGGAACCCUGAUGCAGCGACGCCGCGUGGGUGAAGGAGCGUUUCGGCGCGUAAAGCCCUAUCGGCAGGGAAGAAGGAGGACGGUACCUGACUAAGAAGCCCCGGCUAACUACGUGCCAGCAGCCGCGGUAAUACGUAGGGGGCAAGCGUUAUCCGGAUUUACUGGGUGUAAAGGGAGCGUAGACGGCCAGACAAGUCUGAAGUGAAAAUCCAGCGCUUAACGUUGGAAGUGCUUUGGAAACUGCCGGGCUGGAGUGCAGGAGGGGG